GGUAUGCCAGUUGUCGUGCCAGCGGCAUGGCUGGUUGGCCACGUUCGGAAGGGAUAACCGCUGAAAGCAUCUAAGCGGGAAGCCCGCUCCAAGAUAAGGAUUCCGUACACAUUCACGUGUUGAAGGCCCCAUAUGAGACCAUGUGGUGGAUAGACCGGACGUGGAAGCCCCGCGAGGGGUGGAGCUGACCGGCACUAACGGCCGAACGCACACACACC
rnacentral:ncRNA from 1 species